UAUCUAGUGCCCUUUUGUAAUACAGUAA
rnacentral:piRNA from 1 species